GCCGGGAUGGCGGAACUGGUAGACGCACGGGAUUCAAAAUCCCGCGCUGGUAACAGCGUGCGAGUUCGAUUCUCGCUCCCGGCACCA
rnacentral:tRNA from 1 species